rnacentral:rRNA from 1 species
AUUGAACGCUGGCGGGAUGCUUUACACAUGCAAGUCGAACGGCAGCGCGGACUUCGGUCUGGCGGCGAGUGGCGAACGGGUGAGUAAUGUAUCGGAACGUGCCCAGUAGCGGGGGAUAACUACGCGAAGGCGUAGCUAAUACCGCAAACGCCCUACGGGGGAACGCAGGGGAUCGUAAGACCUUGCGCCAUUGGAGCGGCCGAUGUCGGAUUAGCUAGUUGGUGAGGUAACGGCUCACCAAGGCGACAAUCCGUAGCUGGUCUGAGAGGAUGACCAGCCACACUGGGACUGAGACACGGCCCAGACUCCUACGGGAGGCAGCAGUGGGGAAUUUUGGACAAUGGGGGCAACCCUGAUCCAGCCAUCCCGCGUGUGCGAUGAAGGCCUUCGGGUUGUAAAGCACUUUUGGCAGGAAAGAAACGUCGCGGGCUAAUACCCCGUGGAACUGACGGUACCUGCAGAAUAAGCACCGGCUAACUACGUG